UACGUAGGGUGCGAGCGUUGCCCGGAUUUAUUGGGCGUAAAGGGCGCGUAGGCGGCUCUGCACGUCCGUUGUGAAAUCGCCCGGCUCAACUGGGCGGGGUCAGCGGAUACGGCGGAGCUUGAGCAAGCUAGGGGGCAAUGGAAUUCCCGGUGUAGUGGUGGAAUGCGUAGAUAUCGGGAGGAACACCAGUGGCGAAGGCGGCUCACUGGCCCGGUACUGACGCUGAGGUGCGAAAGCGUGGGGAGCGAACAGG
rnacentral:rRNA from 1 species